rnacentral:rRNA from 1 species
UGGGGAAUAUUGCACAAUGGGCGCAAGCCUGAUGCAGCCAUGCCGCGUGUGUGAAAGAAGGCCUUCGGGUUGUAAAGCACUUUCAGCGAGGAGGAAGGUGGUGAACUUAAUACGUUCAUCAAUUGACGUUACUCGCAGAAGAAGCACCGGCUAACUCCGUGCCAGCAGCCGCGGUAAUACGGAGGGUGCAAGCGUUAAUCGGAAUUACUGGGCGUAAAGCGCACGCAGGCGGUUUGUUAAGUCAGAUGUGAAAUCCCCGGGCUCAACCUGGGAACUGCAUUUGAAAACUGGCAAGCUAGAGUCUCGUAGAGGGGGGUAGAAUUCCAGGUGUAGCGGUGAAAUGCGUAGAGAUCUGGAGGAAUACCGGUGGCGAAGGCGGCCCCCCUGGACGAAGACUGACGCUCAGGUGCG